rnacentral:rRNA from 1 species
GAUGAACGCUGGCGGCGUGCUUAACACAUGCAAGUCGAACGAAGCAUUUGCGACAGAUUUUUUCGGAAUGAAGUUGCUUAUGACUGAGUGGCGGACGGGUGAGUAACGCGUGGGUAACCUGCCUUGUACUGGGGGAUAGCAGCUGGAAACGGCUGGUAAUACCGCAUAAGCGCACAAUGUUGCAUGACAUGGUGUGAAAAACUCCGGUGGUAUAAGAUGGACCCGCGUCUGAUUAGCUAGUUGGUGAGAUAACAGCCCACCAAGGCGACGAUCAGUAGCCGACCUGAGAGGGUGACCGGCCACAUUGGGACUGAGACACGGCCCAGACUCCUACGGGAGGCAGCAGUGGGGAAUAUUGCACAAUGGAGGAAACUCUGAUGCAGCGACGCCGCGUGAGUGAAGAAGUAAUUCGUUAUGUAAAGCUCUAUCAGCAGGGAAGAUAGUGACGGUACCUAACUAAGAAGGUCCGGCUAAAUACGUG